rnacentral:rRNA from 1 species
AGAGUUUGAUCCUGGCUCAGAUUGAACGCUGGCGGCAUGCCUUACACAUGCAAGUCGAACGGCAGCGCGGACUUCGGUCUGGCGGCAAGUGGCGAACGGGUGAGUAAUACAUCGGAACGUACCCUGUUGUGGGGGAUAACUAGUCGAAAGAUUAGCUAAUACCGCAUACGACCUGAGGGUGAAAGCGGGGGACCGAAAGGCCUCGCGCAGCAGGAGCGGCCGAUGUCUGAUUAGCUAGUUGGUGGGGUAAAGGCCCACCAAGGCGACGAUCAGUAGCUGGUCUGAGAGGACGAUCAGCCACACUGGGACUGAGACACGGCCCAGACUCCUACGGGAGGCAGCAGUGGGGAAUUUUGGACAAUGGGGGCAACCCUGAUCCAGCAAUGCCGCGUGUGUGAAGAAGGCCUUCGGGUUGUAAAGCACUUUUGUCCGGAAAGAAAUUGCUCUGGCUAAUACCUGGGGUAGAUGACGGUACCGGAAGAAUAAGCACCGGCUAACUACGUGCCAGCAGCCGCGGUAAUACGUAGGGUGCGAGCGUUAAUCGGAAUUACUGGGCGUAAAGCGUGCGCAGGCGGUUUUGUAAGACAGGCGUGAAAUCCCCGGGCUCAACCUGGGAAUUGCGCUUGUGACUGCAAGGCUAGAGUGCGUCAGAGGGGGGUAGAAUUCCACGUGUAGCAGUGAAAUGCGUAGAGAUGUGGAGGAAUACCGAUGGCGAAGGCAGCCCCCUGGGACGUGACUGACACUCA